rnacentral:rRNA from 1 species
CCUACGGGAGGCAGCAGUGGGGAAUAUUGGACAAUGGGCGAAAGCCUGAUCCAGCAAUGCCGCGUGAGUGAUGAAGGCCUUAGGGUUGUAAAGCUCUUUUACUAGGGAUGAUAAUGACAGUACCUAGAGAAUAAGCCCCGGCUAACUCCGUGCCAGCAGCCGCGGUAAUACGGAGGGGGCUAGCGUUGUUCGGAAUUACUGGGCGUAAAGAGUACGUAGGCGGUUAUUCAAGUCAGAGGUGAAAGCCUGGAGCUCAACUCCAGAACUGCCUUUGAAACUAGAUAGCUAGAAUCAUGGAGAGGUUAGUGGAAUUCCGAGUGUAGAGGUGAAAUUCGUAGAUAUUCGGAAGAACACCAGUGGCGAAGGCGACUAACUGGACAUGUAUUGACGCUGAGGUACGAAAGCGUGGGGAGCAAACAGGAUUAGAUACCCUGGUAGUCCACGCCGUAAACGAUGAUAACUAGCUGUUCGGGCUCGUCAGAGCUUGAGUGGCGCAGCUAACGCAUUAAGUUAUCCGCCUGGGGAUACGGUCGCAAGNUUAAAACUUAAGGAAUUGACGG